rnacentral:rRNA from 1 species
UGGGGAAUUUUGGACAAUGGGCGAAAGCCUGAUCCAGCAAUGCCGCGUGUGUGAAGAAGGCCUUCGGGUUGUAAAGCACUUUUGUCCGGAAAGAAAUCCUUGGCUCUAAUACAGUCGGGGGAUGACGGUACCGGAAGAAUAAGCACCGGCUAACUACGUGCCAGCAGCCGCGGUAAUACGUAGGGUGCAAGCGUUAAUCGGAAUUACUGGGCGUAAAGCGUGCGCAGGCGGUUUGCUAAGACCGAUGUGAAAUCCCCGGGCUCAACCUGGGAACUGCAUUGGUGACUGGCAGGCUAGAGUAUGGCAGAGGGGGGUAGAAUUCCACGUGUAGCAGUGAAAUGCGUAGAGAUGUGGAGGAAUACCGAUGGCGAAGGCAGCCCCCUGGGCCAAUACUGACGCUCAUGCACGAAAGCGUGGGGGAGCAAAACAGGAUUAGAUACCCUGGUAGUCCACGCCCUAAACGAUGUCAACUAGUUGUUGGGGAUUCAUUUCCUUAGUAACGUAGCUAACGCGUGAAGUUGACCGCCUGGGGAGUACGGUCGCAAGAUUAAAACUCAAAUGAGUUGACGGGGUCAUAGCUGUUUCCU